UAGUUAUCAGUUUCAAUUUCAUGUAUCAAACGUAAAAAAUAUCAGGGCACGUAUCCGUGUGCCUGACGCGAUCAAACGAUUUAUGAAAAAUGCUACAAGCCGCAUCGAAAUUGCGCAGUCCUUUUUAAAAUAUUGAAUCCAAAGGCAUUCUGUCUCUUUUCAUUUUCUUAUCACAGGGUCGAGGACGUUUUUAUUGGCAAGAUGUCGCACUGGAACUACGCUAAAAAUUGCACGGUCUACCUAUCGCACAGACUGCACGUAGCAUAUAGAUAAAUAUAGUCAGACGUGAAAUAGCAGGAUAGCUGGAUACACAUAAAGCAUCUGAAGAUGCGGAUGGCCAUUCGUUAUGCUGAGUUUUUGGCUAAACGAGCCAAAAAGAACUAUAUCCAAUGUACUAUGUGCACCCGUCCGUUACUUACAGAUAGUAAAUACAUACUUUAGUAUACAAGGUAUAAUUCCAUCGUCCGUAGUGUGCGUUGCGUCACGUUGCAGGUUACGGAAGUAAUAACGUUACAGUGAUUGUUGCGCCACGUGUUACAUCGGAAAAUUAAGGAAACUUUAAUUUUCAAAUGUCAUGAACGUCACAAUCGUUCCUUGGUACUCAACUCUUACGUUCUCUUAUGCCUAUCGCGUCGUCAGUGUUCGAGUUUCGAUUUCGUCUGUCGUUAACAAUGGCUGCCAAUCCUGUGAAAGCGUUACGAUAUUUUGAAUCGUAUCCACGUAUCAUUCGGUGGUAGAAAAGGGCUCAGUAGAAUUUGGUGCCUGGGGGUGGAUUGUGAUGGCACACAAUGGUGUUCAUACUACACCUAAUAUCUAGUAGAAUGGAAGCCGAUGUCGAUGCAAGAGAAUUUCUCAUAGUCCAGGAAGUUCGCACAGAAAAGGUUCUGGACCACAAAUGAAAACACAUCCCUGGCUGGAUAACUCACCAAUGAGGUCUUUGAGCAAUUCAUGUGAUACUGUACCACGUCUGCCGGCCCAGGACUCAUCCGGUUGCGAAAGAACAUGAGUCACCUUUAAUCUAAACAGCAAUAAAUAAUUUUAAUAAAAUAAUUAUGUUCUGAUCAAUUUCAAUAAUUUUAUAAACAAAU